rnacentral:rRNA from 1 species
GGUGAACGCUGGCGGCGUGCUUAAGACAUGCAAGUCGAACGGCAGUCUUCGGACCGUAGUGGCGCACGGGUGAGUAACGCGUAACUGACCUACCCCAAAGUCGCGGAUAACGAUUCGAAAGAAUCGCUAAUACGUGAUGUGCUGUCAGAUUGUGUUCUGCCAGUAAAGACUGAUUGCUUUGGGAUGGGGUUGCGUUCCAUCAGCUAGUUGGUGGGGUAAAGGCCCACCAAGGCGACGACGGAUAGCCGGCCUGAGAGGGUGGCCGGCCACAGGGGGCCUGAGACACGGGUCCCACUCCUACGGGAGGCAGCAGUUAGGAAUCUUCCACAAUGGGCGAAAGCCUGCUGGAGCGACGCCGCGUGAGGGAUGAAGGUCUUCGGAUCGUAACCCUCUGAAUCAGGGACGAAAGACACUUCGGUGGGAUGACGGUACCUGAGUAAUAGCACCGGCUAACUCCGUGCCAGCCGCCGCGGUAACAC